rnacentral:rRNA from 1 species
UGGGGAAUAUUGCACAAUGGAGGGAACUCUGAUGCAGCGACGCCGCGUGAACGAAGAAGGCUUUCGAGUCGUAAAGUUCUUUUAUAUGGGAAGAUAAUGACGGUACCAUAAGAAAAAGCCCCGGCUAACUACGUGCCAGCAGCCGCGGUAAUACGUAGGGGGCUAGCGUUGUCCGGAAUCACUGGGCGUAAAGGGUUCGCAGGCGGAAAUGCAAGUCAGGUGUAAAAGGCAGUAGCUUAACUACUGUAAGCAUUUGAAACUGCAUAUCUUGAGAAGAGUAGAGGUAAGUGGAAUUUUUAGUGUAGCGGUGAAAUGCGUAGAUAUUAAAAAGAAUACCGGUGGCGAAGGCGACUUACUGGGCUCAGUCUGUCGCUGAGGAACGAAAGCGUGAGUAGCAAACAGG